AUUGAACGCUGGCGGCAGGCCUAACACAUGCAAGUCGAACGAGUGGCGGACGGGUGAAUAAGGGCUGGGAAACUGCCUGAUGGAGGGAGAUAACUACUGGAAACGGUAGCUAAUGCCGCAUAACAUCAGAUGUGCGCAGAUGGGAUUAGCUUGUUGGUGGGGUAACGGCUCACCAAGGCGACGAUCCCUAGCUGGUCUGAGAGGAUGACCAGACACACUGGAACUGAGACACGGUCCAGACUCCUACGGGAGGCAGCAGUGGGGAAUAUUGCACAAUGGGCGAAAGCCUGAUGCAGCCAUGCCGCGUGUAUGAAGAAGGCCUUCGGGUUGUAAAGUACUUUCAGCGGGGAGGCGUUACCUGCAGAAGAAGCACCGGCUAACUCCGUGCCAGCAGCCGCGGUAAUUC
rnacentral:rRNA from 1 species